rnacentral:rRNA from 1 species
UACAGAGGGGGCUAGCGUUGUUCGGAAUCACUGGGUGUAAAGGGCGCGUAGGCGGCCCGCUAAGUCGAACGUGAAAUCCCCGAGCUCAACUCGGGAACUGCGUCCGAUACUGGCGGGCUUGAAUCCGGGAGAGGGAUGCGGAAUUCCAGGUGUAGCGGUGAAAUGCGUAGAUAUCUGGAGGAACACCGGUGGCGAAGGCGGCAUCCUGGACCGGUAUUGACGCUGAGGCGCGAAAGCCAGGGGAGCAAACGGG